rnacentral:rRNA from 1 species
AUUGAACGCUGGCGGCAGGCUUAACACAUGCAAGUCGAGCGGGGGAAGGUAGCUUGCUACCGGACCUAGCGGCGGACGGGUGAGUAAUGCUUAGGAAUCUGCCUAUUAGUGGGGAACAACAUCUCGAAAGGGAUGCUAAUACCGCAUACGUCCUACGGGAGAAAGCAGGGGAUCUUCGGACCUUGCGCUAAUAGAUGAGCCUAAGUCGGAUUAGCUAGUUGAUGGGGUAAAGGCCUACCAAGGCGACGAUCUGUAGCGGGUCUGAGAGGAUGAUCCGCCACACUGGGACUGAGACACGGCCCAGACGCCUACGGGAGGCAGCAGUGGGGAAUAUUGGACAAUGGGGGGAACCCUGAUCCAGCCAUGCCGCAUGUGUGAAGAAGGCCUUAUGGUUGUAAAGCACUUUAAGCGAGGAGGAGGCUACUCUAGUUAAUACCUAGGGAUAGUGGACGUUACUCGCAGAAUAAGCACCGGCUAACUCUGUGCCAGCCGCCGCAGUAA